UUUCUUUAGAAUAUUUUAUUGUGAUUAAAAAAGAUUUUAGCUAAUGUUAUUUUAUAAAUAUUUUUUAUUGUUGAAGAAAUUAGGAUAUAUUUAUAUAUUUAUAAUAAUUAAAAUUUUUAAAAAUAUUUUAUUUGAUUUUUAAUUUUAUAUAAAAAUUAUAAUUAUUAAUAUAUAGAAAUUUUGAUUAAAAAGAUUUUAAUUUUUUUGUUAUAUUUUUUAUUAUAAUAAUUUUUUUUUUUAAUGUUUACUUUCAUUAAAUAAUAAUUUAAUUAUUAUUAUUCUAUUUAUUAUUUAUUACUGAAUUAAUAAUAAGUUUGAAUUAGAUUUAAUAUAAAAUAUUUCUUAAAAUUUGAGAAAAUUUAAGUUUUGAUUUUUUAUUUCUACUCGAUGAAAAUUAAAUUGUAUCUUUAGCGUGAUUGGUCAAAGGUA
rnacentral:rRNA from 1 species